rnacentral:lncRNA from 1 species
UCGUGGUAUCAUCACUUUUAUUGGUCGAACGAAAAGAUUUUAUUUAUCACUUGUCAAAAUUACAUCUCAAAUACAAUUCUCCAACUGUUUUUACUAUCACUUAUAUACAAUCUAAGCUAUACAUUUUCUCUAUAAAGUUUUUCUAUCCAAUCUUUCUUCUACUUGUAUGUCUUCUCCUUAAUGUUUCAAGUGCUUUGCUUACAGUCUUGCUUUAUCUGAUUAAAUUAGAUGCCCAGGUCAUAUCACCUUAUGUUCCCAUAAAGCUAAGUUUCUUGCUCUCCGUAUGUUAUAAACUACUGUAACAAUUAAAAUUUUGUUCCUGAAAAUAAUAAUCAAGACGAGAAAUAUAACGACAAACAAAAGUAUUUGUAUUUCAAUAAUAUACGCCGGUUACAAUCUUUGAACAAUCUUAAGUUUAAAAGAUGUAAUCCUUUGAUUCUUCUCCUCACGACCGCCAAUUCGAGAGCUUUGCUUGUUCUUAAAUUGAUGGACCACUUGUUGUAUGGGAUUUGACCACGAAUACGGAGCUAGGCUUUGAUCACAAACGUGGAGGGUGGAAAACUUGCGGCUCACCCCUUGAAGACGACUUCUUGCUAUGAGAAAGACUUGCGAAUCACCACUAUGGAGGAAAGCUUCAAUAUGUAUCUUUUUUGUUCCAUUGACCUUAUGGAGACCCCCUAUUUAUAGUUGUAGGGGAGGAAACUUGUAAUAAACACUUAUCUUUUUCCUCCAAUUU